UGCGGAGGAUCAUUACCGAGUGAGGGCCCUCUGGGUCCAACCUCCCACCCGUGUUUAUUUUACCUUGUUGCUUCGGCGGGCCCGCCUUAACUGGCCGCCGGGGGGCUCACGCCCCCGGGCCCGCGCCCGCCGAAGACACCCUCGAACUCUGUCUGAAGAUUGAAGUCUGAGUGAAAAUAUAAAUUAUUUAAAACUUUCAACAACGGAUCUCUUGGUUCCGGCAUCGAUGAAGAACGCAGCGAAAUGCGAUACGUAAUGUGAAUUGCAAAUUCAGUGAAUCAUCGAGUCUUUGAACGCACAUUGCGCCCCCUGGUAUUCCGGGGGGCAUGCCUGUCCGAGCGUCAUUGCUGCCCUCAAGCCCGGCUUGUGUGUUGGGCCCCGUCCUCCGAUCUCCGGGGGACGGGCCCGAAAGGCAGCGGCGGCACCGCGUCCGGUCCUCGAGCGUAUGGGGCUUUGUCACCCGCUCUGUAGGCCCGGCCGGCGCUUGCCGAUCAACCCAAAUUUUUAUCCAGGUUGACCUCGGAUCAGGUAGGGAUACCCGCUGAACUUAAGCAUAUCA
rnacentral:rRNA from 1 species